rnacentral:rRNA from 1 species
UGGGGAAUUUUGGACAAUGGGGGCAACCCUGAUCCAGCCAUGCCGCGUGCGGGAAGAAGGCCUUCGGGUUGUAAACCGCUUUUAGCCGGAAAGAAAAGGCGCCCCCCAAUACGGGGCGUUCUUGACGGUACCGGCGGAAUAAGCACCGGCUAACUACGUGCCAGCAGCCGCGGUAAUACGUAGGGUGCGAGCGUUAAUCGGAAUUACUGGGCGUAAAGCGUGCGCAGGCGGUUCGUUGUGUCUGAUGUGAAAGCCCCGGGCUCAACCUGGGAACUGCAUUGGAAACUGGCGGACUUGAGUGUGGCAGAGGGGGGUGGAAUUCCGCGUGUAGCAGUGAAAUGCGUAGAGAUGCGGAGGAACACCGAUGGCGAAGGCAGCCCCCUGGGCCAACACUGACGCUCAGGCACGAAAGCGUGGGGAGCAA